rnacentral:rRNA from 1 species
CAGUCGCCGCGGUAAUACGGAGGGUGCAAGCGUUAAUCGGAAUUACUGGGCGUAAAGCGCACGCAGGCGGUCUGACAAGUCAGAUGUGAAAUCCCCGGGCUUAACCUGGGAACUGCAUUUGAAACUGUCAGGCUGGAGUCUUGUAGAGGGGGGUGGAAUUCCAGGUGUAGCGGUGAAAUGCGUAGAGAUCUGGAGGAAUACCGGUGGCGAAGGCGGCCCCCUGGACAAAGACUGACGCUCAGGUGUGAAAGCGUGGGGAGCAAACAGGAUUAGAUACCCGUGUAGUCCCUGUCUCUUAUAC